rnacentral:lncRNA from 1 species
AGAGGUGGGCACAAUCAUCAGCUGGUUGACUGGUUGGAUGGAUUUCUGUUACAUUUCACACACUCUGGUGUAUCCUUCCUCCCUAUCCUACUGAGCUCUGGAUGGUUGGCACAGGGAAAGGCACAGCUGAGAACUUCUCCUGGUGUUCCUGAAUGGUCGCUCCUGCUGACUCAAACUGAGGUUGAAGCCUUGCUAUAACUUCCAGGUCAUAUGACCAAGUUUCUAACUGGACUCUACCAAACUGGAUUGCUGGUGUAUCUGUAAAGUGUUUGCAAGUGGAUUGAGUUGCUGCUGCUAACCUAUGAACUGAACUGCCGAUUUCCAGAAAACAGAGAUGGGAGUUUCUCCAAGGAACAUUUCUGAACAGGCCCACUUCCCUGUAUCCUUUCUUUUGCACUACCUCUGGAGCAAACCCUUCUGACUUGAGAGUUUGAACACAGGAAGAUGUGUUCCGUCGAUGGGACUGGAACGAAGGCACAGCUUUAGUCUCUGGUGCGUCAUGUCUUUACUCAUAACCACCAAAGGAUGAGAUACAAAGAUACACAGUAGUUAGUGGACUGAGAUGUUAGAAGCAGCCAGUCUAGUGAUGCUUAAAAUAUUUGUAAGGAACCCAGGACUUGUGAAGAUUUCACAGUGAUGUGUGAGAAGACACUCAGCUGCUUACACCUCCAGUUAGUAGAAUUCUAAGAGCAUUCUCAAGCUGUAGCAAAAUGCCAUCUUGGUGGAUCCAUUUUGCUUUCUGUUUCUUUUUCCACAAGCAGAACCUAUCACAAAUAUCCUUCCACAAAUACAGACUCCUUAGCUCACUGAAUUAUUCUGUGCAUGAAAGCCUACCCUGUUUUAAUCUGAAACAAGCCCUUGUGCUUCCUGAAGCUAAAUUAUAGCCACAAGUUCUGCUGAAAUUGGCUUCCUGGAAAGACCACCUAUAGACUCCCCAGGAGCCUGCCUUACAUCUGCAUUGUACACGCACCAGGAAUAACUACAUCACUGUGCAAAUUACCUGACAUGGUCAGGGAAAUGGAUUUAUUCUGAAGCAGUGAGAGAAGCUAAAAUGUCUGAAUUAGCAUUUGUUCUGUUUUCCACAAGAAAAUAUAAAGUGUAUAUUGAACUUUCUUCAUUAAAAUUC